rnacentral:rRNA from 1 species
UACGUAGGGGGCAAGCGUUGUCCGGAAUCAUUGGGCGUAAAGAGCGUGUAGGCGGUUCGGUAAGUCGGCUGUGAAAGUCCAGGGCUCAACCCUGGGAUGCCGGUCGAUACUGCCGGACUAGAGUUCGGAAGAGGCGAGUGGAAUUCCCGGUGUAGCGGUGAAAUGCGCAGAUAUCAGGAAGAACACCAAUGGCGAAAGCAGCUUUCUGGGACGGUACUGACGCUGAGACGCGAAAGCGUGGGGAGCGAACAGG